CCCAACCCACCCCACCAUGACCCUAAACAGAACCACUGAGUCAUCAAGGUAGGAAAAGACUUCCAGGAUCCCCAGCUCCAACCCCAACCCACCCCACCAUGACCCUAAAUGGAUCCAUAGGGUCAUGAAGGUUGGAGAAGACCUCCAAGGUCAUCCAGUUCAACUCCAACCCCAACCCACCCCACCAUGACCCUAAAUGGAUCCAUAGGGUCAUGAAGGUUGGAGAAGGCCUCCAAGGUCAUCCAGUUCAACUCCAAGCCCAACCCACCCCACCAUGACCCUAAACAGAACCACUGAGUCAUCAAG